rnacentral:ncRNA from 1 species
UGACCCCGUGCGGGAGAGUCUCCGGUGAACGUGCCGGAGGCGCCGAAGGAGCAAAUCCUCCCCGGAAUCUCUCAGGCACCCGUACCGCACGGACGAG